GUGCAAUCAUCCUGCAAUUGUACCCCAUGGUGACCCCUUGUGUCGGGACAUGUUUGAGACCAGAUGGUCCAAAAUUAUGACAUGACACCCGCAACUCAGCAACUUUACUAUUACUCCUUGAUUGGUUUCUUAAUAUGUCAAGCAGUGACAUACCAGUAGGCAAGUGGAAGAACUCAUCCACAUCCAUAAAACCAACCCAUUCACACACAUCUCUAGCUCGUAAUGCACAAUGAGCAAAACCUGCCUCUUGAGUCUUGAUCCAAGGCCAAAC
rnacentral:misc_RNA from 1 species